rnacentral:lncRNA from 1 species
GAGAAAGUCUUGAAGAUCUGGAUAGAAGAUCAAACCAGCCACAGUAUUAUUUUAAGCUAAAGCCUAACCCAGAGCAAGGCCCUAACUCUAUUCAAUUGUAUGAUGGCUGAGAAAGACAAGGAAGCUGCAGAAGAAAAGUCUGAAGCUAGCAGUUUUGUUCAUGAGGUUUAAGGAAAGAAGCCAUCUCCAUGACACAAAAAUACAAGGUGAAGCAGCAAGUGCUGAUGAAGAAGCUGCGGCAAGUUAUCCAGAAGACCUAGCUAAGAUCACUGAUGGAGAAAUUGCUACAGCCACUUUAACCUUCAACAAUCAUCACCCUGAUCAGUCACCGGCCAUCAACAACAAGUCAAGACCUUUCUCCAGCAAAAAGAUUGUGACUUGCUGAAAGCUGAGAUGAUCAUUUGCAAUUUUUAGUAAGAAAGCAUUUUUAAUAAAAGUGUACUUUUUUUAGAUAUAAUGAUAUUGCACACAAUAAACUACAGUAUAGUGUGAACAUAACUUUUAUAUACACUGGGGAACCCACAGAUUUGUUACUCACUUUGCUGGGGAAUCCAAAAGUUUUUUUUUACUCACUUUACUGCAAUGUUUGCUUUAUUAUAGGUUUGGCAUUUUCCUACUUCACCAGCUACAACUCUUGUGAUAUUCCCCUGUCUCUAUGUUUUCAGACAUACACAGAACCAUUUAGGUUUUUUGGUUUGCCAUAAUCUUGUGCACAUGGAGAUUUAGCUAUCCUUCUAACCAUAUUACUAAUUUAUUUCAUGUUUUCUCAGUUAAUUAACAUCAUAUCUCUUUUUUAUAUCUUACUUCCUCAAGAAAAAUUCACAUUUCCUCUGACUAGGAUAAAUUUUGUAUAAAAUGUUACCAAUGCAAGAUUCUUGCACUCCUAUUUCUUACAGGGUUAUAAUUUUACUUUUGUGGGGGCUUCCCUUUGGGUAUCCUAUCUGUAUAUCUGCAUUAGUGUUCACCACAUUUUAUGCAUCUUUGUCUUUGUGAUCUUCCAUUAAACCAAAAACCAAGAAUAGGGAGGUAAGAAUAUUAUAAGAUUUUUGCUUAUUUGUUUUGCUUUUGUUCAUCAUCAUAAAGCUGACUAUCAAUGUACUAUUAAAUACUUACUGAAGAGAAGUCCCUAACUGCUGCUGUGGUGUAUACAAAAAAAAUGAGUUAUGGUAUCCAAUUGGGUUUGAAAAAGUCAACAUAAUCAUGGUAACAUCAUGUUUAGGUAAAGGAUUCAGUAACAUGUGCUAAGGUUAAGGAAAAUUGUGUUUUGAGAGAGAGGAACUAGUUCAUCUCCAUUGUGUUGUAUUCCUAACAUUUGCAAACUCAUAGUACUUAAUUCAACUUUCUUUAUCCUUUGGCCACAUUUGUACAAUACUAUGCCAAUACUCGGCCUAUUUGAUAACAACCAUUGAAAAAACAAAGUACAUGGCCUACAAACCCACAGCCAAAAUAAAUAUCAUAAGUAUACGAAUAUUUGAUCUGGUGAGCUAAUUAAUCAGUUAAUUCAUGGCUACACAAUAAUCCUAGGAAGACAUGCAACUCAAACACUUAAGCACCUGGCAUAUGUAAAAUAUUAUACCAUGUGUUUAUCUACAUAAAAGACCAUACGAUAUGUUCAUUUAAGUUGCUUAAUGUUUAUUCAGUAAGAUAACUUUGACAUAGCUAUUUAUAAUUUAAGUUAAAUUGUAAAAAGUGUCCUAACAUGGCAUAAAGUGUCUUCCUUAUGCUCUAGAACAGUUUUUCUUGAGGGUUGGAAAUUUUCAGGCUUAUCAUUCAUCUUCUGCCAUUUCAGUAAUCCACCAAUACUACUAUUGCCAUUGUACAAAAG